rnacentral:rRNA from 1 species
GACGAACGCUGGCGGCGUGCCUAAUACAUGCAAGUUGAGCGAUGAAGAUUGGUGCUUGCACCAAUUUGAAGAGCAGCGAACGGGUGAGUAACGCGUGGGGAAUCUGCCUUUGAGCGGGGGACAACAUUUGGAAACGAAUGCUAAUACCGCAUAACAACUUUAAACAUAAGUUUUAAGUUUGAAAGAUGCAAUUGCAUCACUCAAAGAUGAUCCCGCGUUGUAUUAGCUAGUUGGUGAGGUAAAGGCUCACCAAGGCGAUGAUACAUAGCCGACCUGAGAGGGUGGUCGGCCAAAUUGGGACUGAGACACGGCCCAAACUCCUAAGGGAGGCAGCAGUAGGGAAUCUUCGGCAAUGGACGAAAGUCUGACCGAGCAACGCCGCGUGAGUGAAGAAGGUUUUCGGAUCGUAAAACUCUGUUGGUAGAGAAGAACGUUGGUGAGAGUGGAAAGCUCAUCAAGUGACGGUAACUACACAGAAAGGGACGGCUAACUACGUG